GGCCUGAUAUGAGGGCGGGGCUGUGCCUCCCCCCCGCCCCAAGGGGCGUGGCCAGUUCGGGGCGGGGCUAGGGUUGGAGCAUUUGCGGAUAGAGGACGGUUGCCUGAGAGGAGCGGCGAAAGAUAGACGGGUGCGGCUAGAGUGUAACCGUGGAGGACCAGUUUCAGUUCUGCAUGGAGCAGCUGCCUCUGAGCCUGCAGGGGCAGGGAUGGAGGCUUGAGGCCAGGAGAGGAUGAGAGGAGAAGGCUGGGCUUAAAGGGAGAGGUCAAGGGGACACGGGUUCGAGCCCUGGUCCGGGAAGAUCCCAC